AUGUGCCCCCCUUUAAAAUUUCAGGAAUCAAAAUGCCCUGGCAUUUUAUGGGGGGGAAAGAUUUAUCGGCAAAUGAUCGGCCCGCGUUGGAUUAGCUAGUUGGUGGGGUAAAGGCCUACCAGGGCGACGAUCCAUAGCUGGGCUGAGAGGAUGAUCAGCCACACUGGGACUGAGACACGGCCCAGACUCCUACGGGAGGCAGCAGUGGGGAAUAUUGGACAAUGGGCGCAACCGUGAUCCAGCCAUGCCGCGUGAGUGAUGAAGGCCCUAGGGUUGUAAAGCUCUUUCACCGGUGAAGAUAAUGACGGUAACCGGAGAAAAAGCCCCGGCUAUCUUCGUGCCAGCACCCGCGGUAAUACGAAGAGGGCUAGCGUUGUUCGGAUUUACUGUGCGUAUAGCGCGCGUAGGCGGGCUAAUAAGUCAGGGGUGAAAUCCCCGGGCUCAACCCCGGAACUGCCUUUGACACUGUUAGUCU
rnacentral:rRNA from 1 species